rnacentral:rRNA from 1 species
AUGUGCCCUGUCGGCCCGGAGACGGUGCUUCGGCGGUGGUGCCUUGUCACAUGAUACAUAAUGACUCUCGGCAACGGAUAUCUAGGCUCUUGCAUCGAUGAAGAACGUAGCGAAAUGCGAUACUUGGUGUGAAUUGCAGAAUCCCGUGAACCAUCGAGUCUUUGAACGCAAGUUGCGCCCGAAGCCAUCAGGUUGAGGGCACGUCUGCCUGGGCGUCACAU